CAAUACAAGGAAAAAGGAGUGAGGGGGGAGGAAAUAAGCUACAAUAAUGGCACGGCACAGCUUCGACAGCAUUGAGCAUCUAAAACAAUGGGCUCGAACAACAUGCCCGCUCCGAAGAUUACUGUCCCUCGCCAGCAUCACCUUUCGAGGCUUCUUUGCCCUCGUCGGCACCAUCCUCCUGCACAUACCAAAUUCAAAUUUUUAGCAACAGAUAGGAAGAGUAGACAGGCAACGGAUUAAAGAUUAGGUUUAUUUUGGGAGAAGAAAUUACCGUGAGGUCAGAGGUCCAAAGGGUCAAGUUGUCCCUCAGGAGCUGCAUGAUCAGAGUGCUAUCUUUGUAUGACUCCUCCCCAAGGGUGUCUAACUCAGAGAUAGCUUCAUCAAACGCCUGCAAAGAUUAGCCAAUCGUUAUCAGUUAUCAAAGUUUCAAUGGCAUAAGGACUAAGUCACAAUUAAAAAGUUAAAUGAUCAGGCAACCGACUCAAAUGCCUCCCAGUUACCACAAAUUAAUUAAGUGGCAUUAGAUACUCAAAACUGUAAAACACACAGCAUUAUUAUCGCCUUGAUAAUGUAGGUGCCAGAUAUUACAAGUAUCACCACAAUCCAGUAGAACAUUAAGAAUUCUUUUAACAAGGAGGAUAAUAACAAGCAAGAGUCUAGCAAUAACAGGGCAGAAUGGCACAAAACCACUACAAGCAAGCCUGUUUAGAUAUGUGCAAACAUGGAAGAUCAAAAGCUCAUCAUAUCAGUGGUAGCAUUACCAGAACUAUCAUCAUAUCAGAGGUAGCAUUACUAAUCAGAAACUAUCUGAUCUGAUACACAGUGAUCAAGAUAUCUAGUAGUCAAAUUGCAACAUGAACCUACAAGUGUUUAGUUUGCUGUAUGAGAAGCAAUAGAAAGCUCCUGAUAUACUCAACAAUUUAGGACAAGGAUCCUAAAAUUUACAGUUAAAAGGCACUUUUGGAUAUAUUUUUUCUGCCCAAGCUCAAAUGCACAAACAACCCACCCUAAGCACAGUAAAACGAAUGUAUGUAGUAGAAAAGUAGAUGUGAUUCCAACCUGCUUUGCAAGGUUGCAAGCUUUGUCUGGGGAGUUCAGAAUCUCAUAAUAGAACACUGAGAAGUUAAGAGCAAGCCCAAGCCUUAUCGGAUGGGUAGGUGCCAUCUCAGCCAGAGCAAUGUCCUACACAAUACAUAGCAGAAUAAAACUUCAUAAGAAAACAGUGUAAAGACUAACAGUAAGCAACUAAGCAUUCAAAGAAAUGAACUUGUCAUCCUAUACUAGAUGAAUAGAGACAGUUGUCAUAUUAUCAGAACAGAAAAAAUGAACAAACCUGAGCAGCCUUGUAGGCCACCAUCGUGCUCUCAGCAGAUUCCUUCCUCUCUGUGCCAGUCUUAAAUUCCGCAAGAUACCUGCCAUAGUUAAGAAGAACAGGAAGGUUAAGAAAUCUGGUUGGUUUCUUCAGAUUAUAGUUAUACAGAUAUGAUUGCACAUCAUAAUAUUGCAUUGCAUCCUUCCCAACCUGUGAUAAUCACCCUUCAUCUUGAGGUAGAAGACCUUUGAUUCGGCAGCAGUAGAAGAAGGAACUAGGUGGGAAUCAAGCAGCUUCAGGAUGCCAUCACAGAUAUUGCUCAAUUCAGCCUCAAUCUUCCCACGGUAUUCCUUGAUAAGGUUCACAUGCUCUUCAUUCUUACGGGACUCCUCCUUCUGUUCAAUGGAAGAGACAAUGCGCCAUGAAGCACGGCGAGCCCCAAUCACAUUCUUGUAUGCAACAGACAGGAGGUUACGCUCCUCAACAGUGAGCUCUUCAACAUCUACAGUCUUAGCCACCUUCUCCAUAUACUCAACCAUCUCCUCAUACCUUUCAGCCUGCUCAGCCAGCUUGGCCAUGUAAACAUUCUCCUCCCUCGACAUAUUGACAAAAGA
rnacentral:lncRNA from 1 species